UAAACACUAAUCUAAAACUUAAAUACUAAUUGAACUUAAUUACUAAAUAAGCCUAAUAAGCCCAAAAAAUGAACUAGAAAGGGGUGCAACUGGUGAUGAUGCAGGCCCACACAUCAAAGCCCAAAAGCUGCCAGAAUUUAGAUCCAAAAGAAGCCAAACCUGUUUGAGUUUUAGGCCUAAACCGGAUUUACAAAUCCCUCAACCCAAGUCCCGCGUGCCAAUCCAAAGCCAAAAUAUGGAUGAAAGCUUAUGGAAGAGAAAACUACGAGCGACAAUGAUGAAGGCUAUGCGUCCUGGUUUCCACAUUGCCCGUGCCUCAACCUCGUCCUCACCGUGACUUUGGAACCAUUACCAUUACGGCGCGCUUCCACUCGGAUCGACUUCUUCCAUGUUUCCUUCGAUGUUUUUCCGGCCGAUCUUCGAACUCCAUGCCAUGAUCUAUGAUUGGUUCACAAUGAAGCGAGUAUGGUGGAUUUUAUUCUGGUGUCAAGAGAAACAAAUCUACGCGUGAAAAUUCGAGUGCAAACGCGAAACAGAUCAAAGAAAAACGAGACGGAAUCAGACACAACCGUGGAUUUCUCGCUCUCCUUUCAACAUUCAACCGACAUCCUCUUUGAUUCGUCAUAGAAGGGUUUCGAUGCGGUGGUGGUGACGAUGUUACCGACUUCACGGGGACUCUUGUGCAAAAUGAUGGUGUGUAUUUUGAAAUUGGAUUGUGGAUUCGUUUGAAUAGUGGAGUUUGACUUGAAGAACUUUGGACUUGGAGUCUUUGUAAAUUUGUGGAUUGAACAUAUGCAUUAUAGCUUGUAAAUUGUAACCAUGCAUUUUAAUUAAAAUGGAAAUAGAAUUAAUUAUGUAUUGAUUAAAAUAUGGAUUGUUUGGAUUGUUAUGGUAUGUCAUCUUUGAAUAUUGGAAUGAAAUGACAUUGGAUGGA